CCCCUAGAUGUUCUGGGCCGCACGCGCGCUACACUGAACAGUUCAACAAGUCUUAACCUUGGCCGAUAGGUCUGGGUAAUCUUUGAACGCUGUUCGUGAUUGGGAUAGACCUUUGCAAUUAUGGGUCUUCAACGAGGAAUGCCUAGUAAACGCAAGUCAUCAGCUUGCAUUGAUUACGUCCCUGCCCUUUGUACACACCGCCCGUCGCACCUACCGAUUGAAUGGUCCGGUGAAAUCUCGGGACGGCGGCUUGGUCGCUUGCGUCCGACUGCUGAAACUUGAUUAAACCAUAUCAUUUAGAGGAAGGUGAAGUCGUAACA
rnacentral:rRNA from 1 species